rnacentral:rRNA from 1 species
UACGAAGGGGGCGAGCGUUGUUCGGAUUUACUGGGCGUAAAGGGCGCGCAGGCGGCUUUGCAUGUCAGGCGUGAAAGCCCCGGGCUUAACCUGGGAACUGCGUUUGAUACGGCAGGGCUAGAGUUCGGGAGAGGAGAGUGGAAUUCCCAGUGUAGAGGUGAAAUUCGUAGAUAUUGGGAAGAACACCGGUGGCGAAGGCGGCUCUCUGGACCGAUACUGACGCUGAGGAGCGAAAGCGUGGGGAGCGAACAGG